GAUGAACGCUGGCGGCGUGCCUAAUACAUGCAAGUCGAGCGAACGGACGAGAAGCUUGCUUCUCUGAUGUUAGCGGCGGACGGGUGAGUAACACGUGGAUAACCUACCUAUAAGACUGGGAUAACUUCGGGAAACCGGAGCUAAUACCGGAUAAUAUUUUGAACCGCAUGGUUCAAAAGUGAAAGACGGUCUUGCUGUCACUUAUAGAUGGAUCCGCGCUGCAUUAGCUAGUUGGUAAGGUAACGGCUUACCAAGGCAACGAUGCAUAGCCGACCUGAGAGGGGGUCAGGCAACACGGAAACUGAGCAAGGGCCCAAACUCCACGGGGAGGAAGCAGUGGGGAAUCUUCCGCAAGGGGCGAAAGCCUGAGGGAGCAACGCCGCGUGAGUGAUGAAGGUCUUCGGAUCGUAAAACUCUGUUAUUAGGGAAAAACAAUUGUGAAAGUAACUGGGCACAUUUUGACGGUACCAAAACAAAAAGCCACGGCUAACUACGG
rnacentral:rRNA from 1 species